ensembl:lncRNA
CACGGAAAUAAUAAUUAAGUGACACGUCUAGAACAACAACGGAAAUAACGGAAAUAACGGAAAUAACCUCCACAAAGACAGAAACUUACGGCUGAAAAUUAAUUGACAGGUCAAGAACAACAACGGAAAUAAUGGAAAUAACUAAAAAAACGGAAAAAAUGAAAAUAAUAAUGGAAAUAACGGAAAUAAUAACCUCCACAGAGACAGAAACAUACGGCAGAAAAUUAAAUGACAGAUCAAGAAAAACAACGGAAAUAACUGAAAGAUCGGAAAUAACGGAAAUAACAGAAAUAACAGAAAUUACCUCCGAAGGACAGAAACAUACAGCUGAAAAUUAAAUGACAGGUCAAGAAUAACAACGGAAAGGACAGAAAAAACGGAAAUAACCUCCAGAGAGACAGAAAUAUACGGCAAAAAAUUAGGUGACAGGUCAAGAACAACAACGGAAAUAAUAGAAAUAAUGAUAAUAAUGGAAAAAAACGGAAGGAACCUCCACCAAGACAGAAACAUACAGCAGAAAAUUAGGUGACUGGUCAAGAACAACAAUGGAAAUAACGGAAAUGACGGUAGUAACGGAAAUAACCUCCAAAAGACAGUAACAUACGGCAGAAAAUUAAGUGACAGGUCAAGAACAACAACGGAAAUGACGGAAAUAACAGAAAUAACAGAAAUAACCUUUGAAAGACAGAAACGUAAGGCAGAAUACUAGGUGAGAGGUCAAGAACAACAACGGAAAGAACGGAAAUAACGGAAAGAACCUCCAGAGAGACCGAAACAUACGGCAAAAAAUUAAAUGACAGCACAAGAACAACAACAGAAAUAACAGAAAAAACCAAAAUAACGGAAAUAAUAAUGGAAAUAACAGAAGUAAUAACGAAAAUAACGGAAAAAAUAACGGGAAUAAUAACAGAAAAAAAAAUAACGGAAAUAAUAACAGACAUAACGGAUAUAAUGGAAAUAACGGAAAUAAACUCCACAGAGACAGAGACAUAUGGCAGAAAAUUAAGUAACAAGUCAAGAACAACAACGGAAAUAACGGAAAUAACGGAAAUAACGGAAAUAACGGAAAUAUCGGAAAUAACGGAAAUAACCUCCACAGAGACAGAAACAUACGGCAGAAAAUUAGGUGGCAGGACAAGAACAACAACGGAAAUAACAGAAAAAAAUGAAAUAACGGAAAUAAUAACGGAAAUAACGGAAAUAGUAACGGAAAUAUCCUCCAGAGAGACAGAAACGUACGGCAGAAUAUUACGUGACUGGCCAAAAACAACAACGGAAAUUACGGAAAUUACAGAAAUUACGGAAAUAACCUUCACAGAGGCAGAAACAUACGACAGAAAAUUAGGUGACAGGUCAAGAACAACAACGGAAAUAAUGGAAAUAACGGAAAUAAUGGAAAUAACGGAAAUAACAGAAAUAAACUCCGAAAGACAGAAACAUACGGCAGAAAAUUAGGUGACAGGUCAAGAACAACAACGGAAAUAACGGAAAUAAAAGAAAUAACGGAAAUAACGGAAAUAAUGGAAAUAACCUCCACAGAGACAGAAACAUACGGCAGAAAAUUACCUGACAGGUCAUGAACAACAACGGAAAUAACAGAAAUAACAGAAAUAACGGUAAUAACCUCCACAGAGACAGAAACAUACGGCAGAAAAUUAGGUGACAGGUCAAAAACAACGGAAAUAACGGAAAUAACGAAAAUAACGGCAAUAAUUGAUAGAACCUCCACAGAGACAGAAAAUUACGGCAGAAAAUUAACUGACAGGUCAUGAACGACAAGGGAAAUAAUGGAAAUAACGGAAAUAACGGAAAUAACCUUUGAAGACAGAAACAUACGGCAGAAACUUAGUUGACAGGUCAAGAACAACAACGGAAAUAACGGAAAUAAUGGAAAUAGCCUCCAGAGAGAAAGAAACAUACGGCAAAAAAUUAGGUGAGAGGUCAAGAACAUCAACGGAAAUAAAAAAAAAAACCAAAAUAACGGAAAUAAUAACGGAAAUAACAGAAGUAAUAACAGAAAUAACAAAAAAAAUAAUGGGAAUAAUAACAGAAAAAAAAAAAACGGAAAUAAUAACGGAAAUAAUGGAUAUAACGGAAAUAACGGAAAUAACCUCCACAGAGACAGAAACAUACGGCAGAAAAUUAAGUGACAGGUCUAGAACAACAAAGGAAAUAACUGAAAGAACGGAAAGAAAGGAAAGAACUGAGAGAAAAGAAAUAAAGGAAAUAACCUCCAAAGAGACAGAUACAUACGGCAGAAAAUUAAAUGACAGGUCGAGAACAACAACGGAAAUAACUGAAGUAACGGAAAUAACAAUUAUAAC